rnacentral:tRNA from 1 species
GGUGAUUUAGCUCAGUGGUAGAGCACUUGCCUGGCAAGUGCAAGGCCCUGGGUUCGGUCCCCAGCUCCG